AGUCGAGGGGCAGCAUUAUAAAAGCUUGCUUUUAUAGAUGGCGACCGGCGCACGGGUGAGUAACGCGUAUGCAACCUACCUUAUACUGGGGGAUAGCCCAGAGAAAUCUGGAUUAAUACCGCAUAACAAUCAUGAUUCGCAUGUUUUAUGAUUUAAAACUCCGGUGGUAUAAGAUGGGCAUGCGUAGCAUUAGUUAGUUGGUGAGGUAACGGCUCACCAAGACAGUGAUGCUUAGGGGGUCUGAGAGGAUAGUCCCCCACACUGGUACUGAGACACGGACCAGACUCCUACGGGAGGCAGCAGUGAGGAAUAUUGGUCAAUGGACGCAAGUCUGAACCAGCCAUGUCGCGUGCAGGAUGACGGCCCUAUGGGUUGUAAACUGCUUUUUUACAGGAAUAAUUGCUUUUACGUGUAGAAGUUUGAAUGUACUGUAUGAAUAAGGAUCGGCUAACUCCGUGCCAGCAGCCGCGGUAAUACGGAGGAUUCGAGCGUUAUCCGGAUUUAUUGGGUUUAAAGGGUCCGUAGGCGGUCUUUUAAGUCAGUGGUGAAAUCCCAGAGCUCAACUCUGGAACUGCCAUUGAAACUGAAGGACUUGAAUAUGGUUGAGGUAGGCGGAAUACGUUAUGUAGCGGUGAAAUGCAUAGAUAUAACGUAGAACACCAAUUGCGAAGGCAGCUUACUAAGCCAUUAUUGACGCUGAUGGACGAAAGCGUGGGGAGCGAACAGGAUUAGAUACCCUGGUAGUCCACGCCGUAAACGAUGAUUACUCGUUGUGCACGAUACACUGUGCGUGACUGAGCGAAAGCAUUAAGUAAUCCACCUGGGGAGUACGUUCGCAAGAAUGAAACUCAAAGGAAUUGACGGGGGCCCGCACAAGCGGAGGAACAUGUGGUUUAAUUCGAUGAUACGCGAGGAACCUUACCUGGACUUAAAUGUAGAUUGACCGGCUUAGAAAUAGGUCUUUCCUUCGGGACAAUUUACAAGGUGCUGCAUGGUUGUCGUCAGCUCGUGCCGUGAGGUGUCGGGUUAAGUCCCAUAACGAGCGCAACCCCUAUCGUUAGUUGCUAGCAGGUAAUGCUGAGGACUCUAGCGAGACUGCCACCGUAAGGUGAGAGGAAGGUGGGGAUGACGUCAAAUCAGCACGGCCCUUACGUCCAGGGCUACACACGUGUUACAAUGGCCAGUACAAAGGGCAGCUACCUGGUGACAGGAUGCUAAUCUCAAAAGCUGGUCUCAGUUCGGAUCGGAGUCUGCAACUCGACUCCGUGAAGUUGGAUUCGCUAGUAAUCGUAUAUCAGCAAUGAUACGGUGAAUACGUUCCCGGGCCUUGUACACACCGCCCGUCAAGCCAUGGAAGCCGAGGGUGCCUGAAGUUCGUGACCGCAAGGAUCGACCUAG
rnacentral:rRNA from 1 species